CCUACGGGAGGCAGCAGUGGGGAAUAUUGCACAAUGGGGGAAACCCUGAUGCAGCGACGCCGCGUGAGUGAAGAAGUAAUUCGUUAUGUAAAGCUCUUUCAGCAGGGAAGAAAAUGACGGUACCUGAGUAAGAAGCCCCGGAUAACUACGUGCCAGCAGCCGCGGUAAUACGGAGGGGGCAAGCGUUAUCCGGAUGUACUGGGUGUAAAGGGAGCGUAGACGGCAGUGCAAGUCUGGAGUGAAAGGCGGGGGCUCAACCCCCGGACUGCUCUGGAAACUGGACGGCUGGAGUGCAGGAGAGGUAAGUGGAAUGCCUAGUGUAGCGGUGAAAUGCGUAGAUAUUAGGAGGAACACCAGUGGCGAAGGCGGCAUACCGGAGUGUAACUGACGUUGAGGCUCGAAAGCGUGGGGAGCGAACAGGAUUAGAUACCCGAGUAGUC
rnacentral:rRNA from 1 species